rnacentral:tRNA from 44 species
CGCGGGGUGGAGCAGUCUGGUAGCUCGUUGGGCUCAUAACCCAAAGGUCGCAGGUUCAAAUCCUGCCCCCGCAACCA